GUUGGCCCAAUGGCAAGGCGCCUGACUACGGAUCAGGAAAUUCCGGAUCAGGAAAUUCCGGGUUCGAAUCCC
rnacentral:tRNA from 1 species